rnacentral:lncRNA from 1 species
CUGACGUCUGGAAAGUCAAGGCUGGUGACAAGCAGCGCAGGGCUGUCCCCCACAUCCUCAGAUCGCCAAAUCGCAGGCAUGGCGUGUCUUGAGGAGAGUGGAGGCCAAGGGUGAUAAUAGGACCUGGGUCCCUGUCCAAAGGCACCCAGUUACCUGCCAGACACAGCCCCAUAGGUAGCCACCUGUUGUAAACCAGCUUCCAUCUGAAACACCGGUGGACGUGCAGCUUCUAGGAAGGGCAUGGAGUUCUCUUGCAGUUCUUACUCCAUUUCUAGUGGUAGCAUGUGGCAGGCACGGGCGACAACACCCUCACUCUGGUUGGGGAAAGCCAGCACUGUCGGGCUCAAUGCACCCCCAUUGGGACAUGGUCCCUGUGUUCCCUUGUGAGUACCCACUUUCUGUCUGAGCUCCUGCAGCCUCAGGUUGUUGUGUGUCUGAUCACUUACACUUCAGCAAAGGGGCAUGGGCAGAAGUGGAGUGGGCUGUUUGGACCCAGUGUGAAUCUCUGGUGCUCCAGGCUGUCAUGUUUAUCAGUGGCUGUCUUUGUCCUGGCUGAGUAGUAUUCCCCUACAGGACUGUACCUCCAUUUAUCUGUCCGUUUACCUGCUGAAAAGCAGGAGGGUUGGCUCCCGGUUUAGGCUUCUGUGACUACAACUGCUAUAAACACUUCUGCACUGGUUUUUAUGGGAACAUAA